GAUGAACGCUGGCGGCGUGCCUAAUACAUGCAAGUCGAGCGAACGGACGAGAAGCUUGCUUCUCUGAUGUUAGCGGCGGACGGGUGAGUAACACGUGGAUAACCUACCUAUAAGACUGGGAUAACUUCGGGAAACCGGAGCUAAUACCGGAUAAUAUUUUGAACCGCAUGGUUCAAAAGUGAAAGACGGUCUUGCUGUCACUUAUAGAUGGAUCCGCGCUGCAUUAGCUAGUUGGUAAGGUAACGGCUUACCAAGGCAACGAUGCAUAGCCGACCUGAGAGGGUGAUCGGCCACACUGGAACUGAGACACGGUCCAGACUCCUACGGGAGGCAGCAGUAGGGAAUCUUCCGCAAUGGGCGAAAGCCUGACGGAGCAACGCCGCGUGAGUGAUGAAGGUCUUCGGAUCGUAAAACUCUGUUAUUAGGGAAGAACAUAUGUGUAAGUAACUGUGCACAUCUUGACGGUACCUAAUCAGAAAGCCACGGCUAACUACGUGCCAGCAGCCGCGGUAAUACGUAGGUGGCAAGCGUUAUCCGGAAUUAUUGGGCGUAAAGCGCGCGUAGGCGGUUUUUUAAGUCUGAUGUGAAAGCCCACGGCUCAACCGUGGAGGGUCAUUGGAAACUGGAAAACUUGAGUGCAGAAGAGGAAAGUGGAAUUCCAUGUGUAGCGGUGAAAUGCGCAGAGAUAUGGAGGAACACCAGUGGCGAAGGCGACUUUCUGGUCUGUAACUGACGCUGAUGUGCGAAAGCGUGGGGAUCAAACAGGAUUAGAUACCCUGGUAGUCGACGCCGUAAACGAUGAGUGCUAAGUGUUAGGGGGUUUCCGCCCCUUAGUGCUGCAGCUAACGCAUUAAGCACUCCGCCUGGGGAGUACGACCGCAAGGUUGAAACUCAAAGGAAUUGACGGGGACCCGCACAAGCGGUGGAGCAUGUGGUUUAAUUCGAAGCAACGCGAAGAACCUUACCAAAUCUUGACAUCCUUUGACAACUCUAGAGAUAGAGCUUUCCCCUUCGGGGGACAAAGUGACAGGUGGUGCAUGGUUGUCGUCAGCUCGUGUCGUGAGAUGUUGGGUUAAGUCCCGCAACGAGCGCAACCCUUAAGCUUAGUUGCCAUCAUUAAGUUGGGCACUCUAAGUUGACUGCCGGUGACAAACCGGAGGAAGGUGGGGAUGACGUCAAAUCAUCAUGCCCCUUAUGAUUUGGGCUACACACGUGCUACAAUGGACAAUACAAAGGGCAGCGAAACCGUGAGGUCAAGCAAAUCCCAUAAAGUUGUUCUCAGUUCGGAUUGUAGUCUGCAACUCGACUACAUGAAGCUGGAAUCGCUAGUAAUCGUAGAUCAGCAUGCUACGGUGAAUACGUUCCCGGGUCU
rnacentral:rRNA from 1 species